rnacentral:rRNA from 1 species
GAUGAACGCUGGCGGCGUGCCUAAUACAUGCAAGUCGAGCGAACAGACGAGGAGCUUGCGCCUUUGACGUGAGGGGCGGACGGGUGAGUAACACGUGUAUAACCUACAUAUAAUACUGGGAUAACCUCGAAAAACCGGAGCUAACACGGUAUAAUAUACUGAACCGCAGGGGUCAAUAGUGAAAGACGGAUGUGGUGUCACUUAUAGAUGCAUCCGCGCUGCAUUAGCUAGUUGGUAAGGUAAAGGCUUAUCAAGGCAACGUUGCGUAGCCGACCUGACAGGCUGAUCGGCCACAUUGGAACUUAAACACGGACCAGACUCCUGCGGGAGGCAACAGUCGGGAAUCUUCCGCAAUUGACGGAAACCUGACGGAGUAGCGCCACGUGCGUGAUAACGAUCUUGGGAUCGUAAAGCUGUCUUAUUGGGGAGGAACAACUGUGGCAGUAACUGUGCCCGUCUUGACGGUACCUAGUAAAGAAGCAACGGCUAACUACGUG